UUGAGGUCCUGUAAAUUGAGAGAGAAUCAGAGCGACAGAGAGGGAUGGGGACUCGCGCUCUCUGCAACUCAUUUUGAGCUCCCAUAAAUGGCGGGCUCUUCUCCUUCUUAUCUUUCAAAUCCUUUUUUUAAAGGAAUCAGGUUCUUGUUUUCUAUAUUCUCUAUGUAGGUUUAGUUGAGGGAUUUUCCUAGGGUUUUAGAAGCAUUUAUCGUAUGGAUUUAGAUUUCUGAUUGUCCCUACAAUGGCAAAGGAAACCCUAAAUGGAGACAUUAGGAGCUCAGAGAGAGAAGACAAGGGAAGCAGGAGAAGGGAAGAGAGAGAAGAUGAGAGAAGCAGGAACAGGGAAAAUAGAGAAAGAAAGAGAAGUACGAGUUUAGAGAGGGAGGAUAGGAGAAGUGGAAUCAGGGAAGGGAGAGAAGACAAGGGAAGCAGAAGCAAAGAAGAGCACAAGAGAAGCCGGAGCAGAGAAGAGAGAGAAGAGAUCAGAGAGAGUGAUGAGGAAAGCCCCAGAAAGAGAAGGAAACACUCUAAGAAGAGGUCUAAAAGGCACGAGCAAAGUUCAGAGGAGUCUUCUUCUGAAUCAAUGGAGUCAGACUCUUUUUCAGAUGAUUAUGAUUCUUCUUCAGAGGAAGUGAGGAGGAAGAGGAGGAAAGAUAAGAGGAGGAGAGACAAAGUGAGUGAAAAUGACAGGAAGAGAAGGAAAAAUGAAGAAUCAAUGGAAUCAGACUCCUUAUCAGAUGAUUCUGAUUCUUCUUCAGAGGAAGAGAGGAGGAAGAGGAGGAAAGAUAAGAGGAGGAGGAGAGAGAAAGAGAGUGAGGAGAGGAAGAGAAGGAAAAAUGAAGAUGAGAAGAUGAAAACGAAGAGGAAGAGAGAGAAGGAAGAGACGAAAAGGAAGAAGAAGAAGAGUAAGAGGAAAAAAGUGACAAAAGGUGCAGUGACAGGUUCUUGGGGUAAAUAUGGCAUUUUAAAAGAGAUCGACAUGUGGAAUAAAAGGCCAGAAUUUGGGGCAUGGUUAUUAGAAGUGAAGAAGGUGAACCUUGAGACUUUAUCGAACCGAGAAGAGAAGCAACUGUUCAAGGAGUUUAUGGAGGAUCAUAAUACUGCUACUUUUCCUUCCAAAAAAUACUAUGAUUUAGAUACUUAUCAUCGCCAUAAGAUGAUAAAGGCGCUGAAAAAAGGUUCUGAAGUAGUCACACAGAUAGAGCGUACCGUAUUUGAUGAUGAGGAACAACGCCGGCAAGAAUUACUGAGGGAGCGUGAGAAACAGAAGGAAGCACAGAUUGAGGCUUUGAAAAUUUCAAUGCAGAGUGGGAUGGCUCAAGCAAUGAAGGAGCAGGCCCAGUUGCGUGAAGAAAUGAAUUAUCAGUUCAGGCUUGGUAAUAUUGAGGCUGCUCAAGCAAUUCAAAGAAGAUUGGAUCCUGAUGCUGCAAUGUGAUUAGUUUUGCCCCACACUCUGGAAAGGGUAUGACGAAUUUUCAUCACCUCGCUCUCGCUCUCGCUCUCAUAUGCAUGAUCAUUAUGGGAAUUUAUAGGGUUUUCUUGCUCCUCACUGCUUCAUAACGCAACUGGUGAAUUACCACAAGGAGAUUCAUCAUUUGGGAAGUUCUGGUGAGUCCCCAUGUUCUUCGAAUGGAUCUCUUAGUUGUUGAGAGGAUUGCUGAAAGGUGGUAUAUAAGGCAUAUCGAUACAUGUAAUGGUUAACUGUUUUCAAUUUUCAUGGUUUUGAACCAUUUUUUAAUGCUUUCUGCCGACUUUUUUGUUAUGCAUAUGAAUGUGAGCAUACUUCCAUGGAA